rnacentral:rRNA from 1 species
CUACGGGGGGCUGCAGCCGGGAAUCGUGCGCAAUGGACGAAAGUCUGACGCCGCGACGCCGCGUGCGGGAUGACGACAUUCGUGUUGUAAACCACUUUUGUUUCGAGGGAGACCGAGAAAAGAAUAAGCACCGGCUAACUCCGUGCCAGCAGCAGCGGUGAUACGGAGGGUGCAAGCGUGUGUCCGGAUUUAUUGGGCGUAAAGAGUUCGUAGGCGGACCAAUAAGUUAUCCUUCAAAGACCAGAGCUCAACUUUGGGAAGGGGGAUAAUACUAUUGGUAUUGAAAGGCUUCGGGGCUUACCGGAACUUACGGUGUAGGAGUGAAAUCCGUUGAUAUCGUAAGGAACACCGAGGGCGAAGGCGGGUAGCUAGAAGCACUUUGACGCUGAGGAACGAAAGCCAGGGGAGCGAAAGGGAUUAGAUACCCUAGUAGUC